rnacentral:rRNA from 1 species
UACGGAGGGUGCGAGCGUUAAUCGGAAUUACUGGGCGUAAAGCGCGCGUAGGUGGUUGUGUAAGUUGGAUGUGAAAGCCCCGGGCUUAACCUGGGAACUGCAUUCAAAGCUGCACGGCUAGAGUACGGCAGAGGGGGAUGGAAUUCCGCGUGUAGCAGUGAAAUGCGUAGAUAUGCGGAGGAACACCGAUGGCGAAGGCAAUCCCCUGGGCCUGCACUGACGCUCAUGCACGAAAGCGUGGGGAGCAAACAGGAUUAGAAACCCUAGUAGU